ACAUGCCUACAACAUAGCAUUAAUGCACUGGAUCCCAUUAUAACUUCAUAGUUAAGCGCACUCUGGAUAGAGUAGAACUGGGAUGGGUGACCGCCUGAGAAGUCAUAGUGUUUUACAUGCC
rnacentral:rRNA from 1 species